rnacentral:rRNA from 1 species
CUAUACAUGACUCUGCGCAUAUCAAUAAGCGGAGGAAAAGAAACUAACAAGGAUUCCACUAGUAACGGCGAGUGAAGCGGGAAGAGCUCAAAUUUGAAAUCUUAAAGGUUUUCCCUUGACGAAUUGUAGUUUAAAGAAGUGUUUUCUGUUGGAGUUUUCGGUAAAAGUUCUUUGGAGUAGGACAUCAUAGAGGGUGAGAAUCCCGUAUUUGACCGUUACUUUCCUAGCUGUGUGAUACACUUUCAAAGAGUCGGAUUGUUUGGGAAUGCAGUCCAAAAUGGGUGGUAAAUUUCAUCUAAAGCUAAAUAUUGGCGAGAGACCGAUAGCGAACAAGUACCGUGAGGGAAAGAUGAAAAGAACUUUGAAAAGAGAGUUAAACAGUACGUGAAAUUGUCAAAAGGGAAGCGUUUGACACCAGUGUUGUUUAGUUGAAAAUCAAUUCAAUAAUGAUUGGAUUUUGAGUAGUAUUGACUUCAUCAGCUUUCUGCACUUUCUUUUCAUAAUUAUUUAAUGCACUUUUCAGUUUAACAAGUCAACAUCAAUUUCUUUUGUCGUAAAAGAGUAAUAGGAAGGUGGCUUACUCUUCGGCGUAAAGUGUUUAUAGCCUUUGACCUCUACAAUCGGAGAGAUUGAGGAUCAGCAGCGUAGACUCCUUCGGGGUUAGAUACCGUAGAUGCUAAGCUAUAGCCUUGUAUAGACAACUUGUUGACUAUGCUCAGUCAUGUAGCUUACUCGCUUGUGCUAUUUUACCUACGCUUAGGAUGUUGAAGAUAUGCGCGACACG